UACGUAGGGUGCGAGCGUUGUCCGGAUUUAUUGGGCGUAAAGAGCUCGUAGGCGGUUUGUCGCGUCGAAUGUGAAAAUCCGAGGCUUAACCUCGGACCUGCAGUCGAUACGGGCAGACUAGAGUUCGGCAGGGGAGACGUGGAAUUCCUGGUGUAGCGGUGAAAUGCGCAGAUAUCAGGAGGAACACCGGUGGCGAAGGCGGGUCUCUGGGCCGAUACUGACGCUGAGGAGCGAAAGCGUGGGGAGCGAACAGG
rnacentral:rRNA from 1 species